rnacentral:rRNA from 1 species
CCCUUAGAUGUUCUGGGCCGCACGCGCGCUACAAUGAUGAAUUCAACGAGUUUAUAACCUUGGUUGAAAAGCCUGGGUAAUCUUUUGAACUUUCGUCGUGAUGGGGCUAGACCCUUGCAAUUAUUGGUCUCCAACGAGGAAUUCCUAGUAAACGCAAGUCAUCAGCUUGCAUUGAUUACGUCCCUGCCCUUUGUACACAUUGCCCGUCGCACCUACCGAUUGAAUGGUCCGGUGAAAUCUUCGGAUUGAGACUUUGUUUUCUUCACGGAAAACGCUGUUUUAAAAAGUUGAUUAAACCUUACCAUUUAGAGGAAGGUGAAGUCGUAACA